CACGUAGGGUGCGAGCGUUGUCCGGAAUUAUUGGGCGUAAAGAGCUCGUAGGCGGUGUGUCGCGUCGGCCGUGAAAACCUGCAGCUUAACUGUGGGCUUGCGGUCGAUACGGGCAUCACUGGAGUUCGGCAGGGGAGACUGGAAUUCCAGGUGUAGCGGUGAAAUGCGCAGAUAUCAGGAGGGAACACCGGUGGCGAAGGCGGGUCUCUGGGCCGAUACUGACGC
rnacentral:rRNA from 1 species